CGGUGCCGGCAAGGAACAGGGAAGGCCUGGGGCGGUGUUCACUCCCCUCAGAGCAGUGAUCGCCCCUGGUCCUCCUCUCAGCGCCGCCCGCCCAUCCCCUGCCUCCCAGUGGGCCCGUCAGUAGCUGCGUGCUCGUCCACCUGUUGCGUCAGGGAGUCACCUGUGGCGCCGCGCCCUCCUAUACCGUCAGUCAGGUGGUCGCCCGCGCUCACCCCGCAUCGCCUGCCUCCUUGCACUGCUGCUCGCUCCCCGCCACUAGUGUGAGGAAGAGGAAGAAGGCGAAUAGAUUGAAGGACAGAAGAGAUACAGAGAAAGAGAGAAAGAGAAAGACACUCAUACCCUCACACAGACAGAAGCUGAGUGCCGUACCAUCUCAGUGCGACCUCCUUUGUCCAUUGAGGUUAAGAGAAGGCGCCGUGGUGUUCAUGUCUCCUUCAGAAGCAGGAUAUUCCCUUCAACCGAGUAAUAGGAGAGAAAGAUAGAAGAGAAGAAUUAAGGAUCUUUCAUCUUUUCCCUCUCUCUCCCUCUCCCGCGCUGACAAAAGAGCUGAUAUAUUAGAAAAGAAAAAGAGAAUUUGAUCGUGAAAUAUUUUAGUUUUAUAUUUACAUAAAGGGAAAAAAAUACAGCAAGGUCGACGUUCGUUCUGAAAUGAAUAAGUGACAAGAAAAUAAAGAUUUGUUCGUGUACGUGCUAAAUUUAGACGCGUGUGUGGAAUUCGGGGCUGAAAUUUAAUCAGUACGGGAAAAUCUUGAAAAAAAAAGAGUUGAAGUAGAGAAAAAUAGUCCAUCGGGUCAGACCAGAAAAUAAGAAAAAAAAAGAAAACGACGUGAUGAAAAAAUAAAGGAAAAGACAGAAAGA